UUAGUAACUAACUGUGUUUAAUACAGAAGCAUUACUUGGUAUUGAUAUUAGAUAAAAAGAUAAAAAAAGGUAAACAAAGUGAUUCACAUAUGAUGAUUUAAAAUGUACUCAAGUAUAAUCUACCUAACUUGAAUGAGGUAUUUAUUGUCCAGAAAAGCAAAAAGAUGCUAGAGUACCCUCUCGGAUGAGGGCACUUUAAGCAAAUGCAUACACCUUGAGUUUUCUGAAGAGUUUUCUAUAAGUGCAAGUAAAAAGUUGAGCAAACCUCCAACAAAUAAUCAGAAAGAUGAGAAAAAGGAAAUUAUAAAAACUUCUUUUCAUUUGGGCAAUGUCUGGCUCCCUGGUGACACCUGCUGGCUAAUAAAGAACGCAUCAGAAAGCUUUUUUUACUGAAAGAAAACUGUCCAACUUAAAAUUCCUUUUUGUUCCAUCCAGUCCUUUGUCAGAAGUCAGCAAGACUAUUAGAAGUAAAUGUGAUGUGCUAGGCACCGUAGAGAACAUAGCACCUGAAAAACGUGAUACCAUUUUAACAGCAGACUAGGAGAGUGCGUGACUCUAAAAGUACCUGGGGAAAAAAUGUCCUACACGACAGGUUUUUUUCCUACAUAUACUUUAACAACAGUGAAAUACCACUCCAAUGGGGUCCGGGUAGAAUCU
rnacentral:lncRNA from 1 species